UCCCGGUUGCCCGGGCAGUCUCGCGUGAAAAAUUCAACACACGACAAGGGUUGCGCUCGUUGCGGGACUUAACCCAACAUCUCACGACACGAGCUGACGACGGCCAUGCAGCACCUGUCACCUGGCUCCCGAAGGCACGCCCCUGUUUCCAGGGGGUUCCAGGGAUGUCAAGCCUCGGUAAGGUUCUUCGCGUAGCAUCGAAUUAAACCACAUCCUCCACUGCUUGUGCGGGUCCCCGUCAAUUCCUUUGAGUUUUAAUCUUGCGAUCGUACUCCCCAGGCGGCAUAUUUAACGCGUUAGCUACUCAGCACAGAGGGUCGAUACUCCAUACUGAUAAUAUGCAUCGUUUACGGCGUGGACUAC
rnacentral:misc_RNA from 1 species